AGGUUUUGUGGGGCUGGGUGGCCAAGGCAUGGCUUGGCAACAUCCUGCAGAGCUGGUGGUCACAUCAGCCGGGCUCCAGAGGCAGCUUCCAUCAACACUGUCCUGAAAAGCAUUGCAGGAGCAAUUCUUUGUGGCCACAACCUUGGAAAGAUGCAUGUUUGUCUUGCAAAACCUUGUGAUCACAGCAGUUGGUUGUCACACACCCUGGGAAUGAGUCAGGGAAGACAGCUCAGUGUUUCAGGCACGAGGUCUCUUGUGUACAGAGCUGGCCUGAACUGAAGAAUUCCACGCUCCUACAGCAGCGUCAUGGAAAACACCACUUGCCACAGCACAGAACGAGCUCCUGUAACGCAGCUGAACAACCUGCUGUGCAGCCUUCCUCCACAGGGACUCAUGGGCAUAUUUUGAAAACCUCUUCACUCCAAACCCCCACAAAAAAAAAAAGAAAAAAAAAAAGAACCAAACAUACUUUGGAAUAAAGUAUUGGAUCAGAUGAGUUGGAAAUGGCUCUUGCACAGCACUGGUGUUGGAUGCAGGAAUACAUCCCCUGAUUCUGUGGACUUGAAAGCAAGUAAGCACAGUCAUUGUGGGAGCAGGUCUCCUUUCCUUCUUACAGAGAUAAAAGCAAGGAGCAGGCUGGAUUUUUGUGGGAGAGAGAGCUUUUUGAGCAAUGCCCUCCUUGAAGCCUCUUACGGAAAUAAAACAAACAUCUACAGCUGGGAAAACUAAAAAAGCUGUCCCUCCCACAGCCUGGGACAGUCACUGCAAAGUUGGGAUUUUUUCUGUGUGUUGGGGCAUGAGGGGUGCAGUGUCCCUAUGGAUCCUGCCUGGGGGAGGGAAACAGGGAAUUGCACAGGAAAAAAAGAGCUCAGGAGGGUGGGCCACAGCGUUUGCUGCAGGGUUUUGGGUGGGUGUCAAAGAGUGGGGGAAGUAGAGGAGGGUAAAAUGAGCAUCUGGGGGCUCAGUAAUAAAUUGAGGAAAAGUCUCAGCAUCUCCCUGGGGUGAUUUUAAAUGGCCUCUGUGUGUGUGAAGAUCCAGGGGGGGUUUGCAGAGAGAAGGAUGUUUGUCCAGCUGGGAUAACAGCUUUUGGGCAGGAAUUCAGUCCCAUCUAGCACUAACACGGGAUAAAAUUCUUUCUGCAGCAGCAGAGCUGUGACCAUUGGGGCUAUUUCACUUUCUAG